rnacentral:ncRNA from 1 species
CUCGGUCCUCGGUAGUGGCCCUCGGGAUGUUCCGCACGGAAUGCCCGCAGGCCUCGAUCGAAGACCGAC